AUGGUGUGGUCCAUCCGCGUACCCCUGAAGAUACGUAUCUUCAUGUGGCAAUGGAUUCGCGGUCGGGUCCCCUCGGGGGUGGAGGUGCGCAAGCAAAAUGGCCCGGGUACUAGCAUCUGUCUGCUUUGUGGGGUCCCCAAAGACUCGAACCACAUUUUCUUCUCCUGCGUAUCCGCCCAGUUCCUUUGGAGCUGCUUUCGCGAAGCUGUCGGUGGAAAUUGGUGCCACACCAAUUUCCGUAUCUUCAUGUGGCAAUGGACUCGCGGUCGGGUCCCCUCAGGGGUGGAGGUGCGCAAGCGAAAUGGCCCGGGUACUGGCAUCUGUCCGCUUUGUGGGGUCCCCAAAGACUCGAACCACAUUUUCUUCUCCUACGUAUCCGCCCAGUUCCUUUGGAGCUGCUUUCGCAAAGCUGUCGGUGGAAAUUGGUGCCACACCAAUUUCCUGGACUUAUUUGCCGAUCUCCAGAUGUCCCCCGUGACUUCUCGCCACAUUAGGUGGCUUGAGAUUGGGAUUCUUGCUUGGACCCUCUGGACUGUCCGCACUAAACUUGUGAUUCAGCGCACUCCUCUUCGUCGGGCUACUGACGCUCUUUUCAAACUCCCGGGUUUCUUGCAGCUUUCGCAGCCACUUAGCCGCCCCUCGAACCGCGACGACAUCUCAGCCUUCAUCGCUGACCUCCGCUCGAUGGUCGUCCGCCCGUCGCCGCCGCCUCCGUCGCCACCGCCGGAACCAGACUAG
rnacentral:rRNA from 1 species